rnacentral:rRNA from 1 species
UAAAGCGUGCGCAGGCGGUUAUGUAAGACAGAUGUGAAAUCCCCGGGCUCAACCUGGGAACUGCAUUAGUGACUGCAUAGCUGGAGUACGGCAGAGGGGGAUGGAAUUCCGCGUGUAGCAGUGAAAUGCGUAGAUAUGCGGAGGAACACCGAUGGCGAAGGCAAUCCCCUGGGCCUGUACUGACGCUCAUGCACGAAAGCGUGGGGAGCAAACAGGAUUAGAUACCCCAG